rnacentral:lncRNA from 1 species
UUAAUCAAUAAAUUACCUACCAUGGCCUUCAAAUCGGCAGCAACUUGCCUCCGAAUCAACGUGAUUGUACAUCCGGUAGAAACGAAAUCGGGAAAAAAAUUUCCCGGUUCGUUAUAAGGUACAUGAUCACCACCUACAUCGAAAUCCAACGGCUACUCGCGGAUCAGAGACCCGAAGCUUUGCAAAAAUUAAAACACAUCACCCCCCCGAGCAUCGGUGGCAUACGACUACGGGGGGUGUGGAAAAUCUGAGAGCGUGUACCGAGACAGAGAAGAAUAACUUAUUACUCACCGUCCGGAGGAAGGAGACGUCAUCCUGCUCGGAGCCACCCUCGCUGUCCGCCAUCCUCCAAGCAGCAGCAGCGGCAGAGUUCUUCCUCGAAUCGUGAUAAUUUUCGGUUUAUUCGACAAUCUUCCCUGCGGCGUAUAAUGAACUCGGCGGGGGUAUAUCAGUGAACGGCGAGACGACGUUCGAGCAUGUUCGUCGCGUGGUCGAUGCGCGGCUUGCGGACGCUGAACGCCGGCACCAAACUCCGUCGCGACGACGACUGACGCACUCGCUCUGUCUCGUCUCGACGAGGGUCCUCGGGUUACAGGUAGCGGCAGAUUGCCCGGAGAUCAGCGCAGGCUCGAGAGGACAGGGAACGAGAUUUUCGUCUCCGAGGAUUCGCACGAUUGUUGGGAUGUAGAAUUGUUCCGAAAAAUUCUUAGUUUGGAUAAAACAAACUGUAAAAAAAUGAAAUAAAUAAAUAAUAAUUUCAAAA